GAUGAACGCUGGCGGCGUGCCUAAUACAUGCAAGUCGAGCGAACAGAUGAGGAGCUUGCUCCUCUGACGUUAGCGGCGGACGGGUGAGUAGCACGUGGAUAACCUACCUAUAAGACUGGGAUAACUUCGGGAAACCGGAGCUAAUACCGGAUAAUAUAUUGAACCGCAUGGUUCAAUAGUGAAAGACGGUUUUGCUGUCACUUAUAGAUGGAUCCGCGCCGCAUUAGCUAGUUGGUAAGGUAACGGCUUACCAAGGCAACGAUGCGUAGCCGACCUGAGAGGGUGAUCGGCCACACUGGAACUGAGACACGGUCCAGACUCCUACGGGAGGCAGCAGUAGGGAAUCUUCCGCAAUGGGCGAAAGCCUGACGGAGCAACGCCGCGUGAGUGAUGAAGGUCUUCGGAUCGUAAAACUCUGUUAUUAGGGAAGAACAAAUGUGUAAGUAACUAUGCACGUCUUGACGGUACCUAAUCAGAAAGCCACGGCUAACUACGUG
rnacentral:rRNA from 1 species